UAAGAUCUACUAUGUUUUCAUUAAGUCCUUUUAAGGUUUAAAUCUUCAUUCAUUAAAGAAAGAAAAACUAGAGCUGUCUGCUAAAAUAGAAAGAAGAACAACUUGGUCUGCAAUUACAAUUCAACACAGCUGUAACGGGUAUCUAACAUAAUUUGGGAAAAUUCAAGGUGGUUUGCAAAAUACACAGAAAUGCUGUGCUUCUAUUGCUGACCAAGUCACUCAUCCUUAAAAAGCUUUUCAAUCUUGUGUUGGCCGUUGUUGUGAAGGCAGUACAGAGCCAGAACAAGCUUGGAGGUGUGGAUGUAGAAGGAGAUGGCAAUAUCACUGGGUAAAGGUGGGGACAAGCUCUGUCGGCACUUCAUUAAACUUUCCAUCAACUCAUCAAGUAU